UCAACCAGGUAGCAUUYCUUUGUGCUGCCGACCCGCAUGAACCGGAGAACGAAUAUAGUCCUCAAGUCAAAACGGGGCACGACAAGCUUCCAUAAGGGACAAUUGAUUCGGGCAAAAAAGGGACAAAGGACCCCAACCGAUCAUGCAUCUACAUACAAGACUUCAAGCAACACUUGGGCAUCCGAUGCUUGCAAGCUAUAUAAGCAUAGCAAGGGCGGACGUCCAAAGGAGCUUCAGGGUCUACGUCGCACAAAACAAUUCGCACGAGAUAGAGUUCAGCCAUGGGACUAUAGAAUUCCAUCAAAAUAGGUAUGAUGCACAGGGGGCCAAGCCAAUCCAAGGCAAAAAUUUGACACUCGGACAGAAUUGAACAGGUUUGAACCAACGGUUGUCGCUGCCAAGGCAGGGAACCAACCAGCCGGGACAUGCCAAGCAC
rnacentral:misc_RNA from 1 species